UUGAGCAUGGUUAUAUUGAUUAUACUGAUUAUUGAAUUAAAUUACUGAAUUACUAUUAUUAUUAAUUAUACGCGGCUUGUAAUACAUGACAUCUUUAUAUAUUGGUACCUCGGCUCACUGGUGGCCCUGAAAUUGUUCAGUGGGAAUGCAGUGAACCGAGAGAAUCAGCGACUAAAUAUUUCGGACCCUAACUUAAGCGUUAUUGCCAGCUGUCUAAUGCGGCACUCUUUCUCACUUAUUAAAUUAAUUUAGUCGAGUGCUGGGUUGUUAGGUUUGGUAUUUAUUUAUUUAUUUAUUAUUUGCUUAGCUUGAUCAAUUUAUUAAUGCUGCAGGGUUUUGCGCGGCCUUCUGAUUAUGUUAUUGGGACGCUGUUAUGCGUACUAUCCUCGUUUUAGCCGCUCUUUCUGAUAAGCUAUUCUAGCUAUUAGAAUAGUUAUUUAACUGCUGAUAUUCCGAUCUACUUAUACCUUCCCUUGCCACAAUACCUACUAGUCAUAUUGUUGCCUGUUGCUUUAUUGUUGCUUAUUAUGCUUUGCUUCUACAGGUGUUGGGAACCCGGUUGGAAUUGAACGGGGUUAGAUUUGAUCGGGCUGAAUUGAGAUGAUCUGGUUGGAAUUAAUAGAUCGUCCGGCUGUCCUGUGAAUCUUUAUGAUACGGGUAACUGAUAACCUGGUAAUCUGUUGCAAUUUGUUGCAAUUUGGUUGCAAAUUAUAUAAUCACGGUGCUGGACCGCGGUUGGAAUUAAACAGGACUAGAUUGAUUGGGCUGAAUUGGGCUGAUCUGGUUGGAGACAGCGAAUUCGUCCAGCUGUCCUGCGAAUCUUAUGACGAGGGUAGCUUGGUAACCUUGAUCUGCUGCAAUUAGUGCAUUGUUGCAUUAUGCCAUUAAAUGGCUUAUCUAUAGUUACGGUGCUGGGAGCCUGAUCGGAAUUGAGCUGAGUUGGAUCUGAUUGGGCUAAAUUGGGAUGUAUUGGGAUGAUUUGGCUGGAGUUGGCGGAUUUGUCCGGUUGGCCCAUGAACCUUUAUGAUGCGGGUAACCUGGUAACCUGCUAAUCUGUUGCAAUUGUUGCAUUGUGCCAUUAUAUGGCUUAUUGAUAGCUACGAUGUCGCGUGCCGGGUUGGCAUAUUAAAUGGUUGAAGGAUUGCUAAUUGGAUUGGAUCGGAUUGGUUGUGCCAUUAUUUAGGGAGCCAACAGAUUUAACCAUUAAUCUCGAGAAUCCCUAUGUACAAGGAAUAUGCUGCAGCGGGCAUUGUAUUGCCGGGCGACCUGUGUCGAUAGUGACGGUGGUAUUUUAUGCUCAUUAUCUAUAUCCUAUUGGUAUUAA